UGCAGUCGAGCGGACAGAUGGGAGCUUGCUCCCUGAUGUUAGCGGCGGACGGGUGAGUAACACGUGGGUAACCUGCCUGUAAGACUGGGAUAACUCCGGGAAACCGGGGCUAAUACCGGAUGGUUGUCUGAACCGCAUGGKUCAGACAUAAAAGGUGGCUUCGGCUACCACUUACAGAUGGACCCGCGGCGCAUUAGCUAGUUGGUGAGGUAACGGCUCACCAAGGCGACGAUGCGUAGCCGACCUGAGAGGGUGAUCGGCCACACUGGGACUGAGACACGGCCCAGACUCCUACGGGAGGCAGCAGUAGGGAAUCUUCCGCAAUGGACGAAAGUCUGACGGAGCAACGCCGCGUGAGUGAUGAAGGUUUUCGGAUCGUAAAGCUCUGUUGUUAGGGAAGAACAAGUGCCGUUCAAAUAGGGCGGCACCUUGACGGUACCUAACCAGAAAGCCACGGCUAACUACGUGCCAGCAGCCGCGGUAAUACGUAGGUGGCAAGCGUUGUCCGGAAUUAUUGGGCGUAAAGGGCUCGCAGGCGGUUUCUUAAGUCUGAUGUGAAAGCCCCCGGCUCAACCGGGGAGGGUCAUUGGAAACUGGGGAACUUGAGUGCAGAAGAGGAGAGUGGAAUUCCACGUGUAGCGGUGAAAUGCGUAGAGAUGUGGAGGAACACCAGUGGCGAAGGCGACUCUCUGGUCUGUAACUGACGCUGAGGAGCGAAAGCGUGGGGAGCGAACAGGAUUAGAUACCCUGGUAGUCCACGCCGUAAACGAUGAGUGCUAAGUGUUAGGGGGUUUCCGCCCCUUAGUGCUGCAGCUAACGCAUUAAGCACUCCGCCUGGGGAGUACGGUCGCA
rnacentral:rRNA from 1 species